rnacentral:misc_RNA from 1 species
CCGAGUUACAACUCCCAAACCCCUGUGAACAUACCACUUGUUGCCUCGGCGGAUCAGCCCGCUCCCGGUAAAACGGGACGGCCCGCCAGAGGACCCCUAAACUCUGUUUCUAUAUGUAACUUCUGAGUAAAACCAUAAAUAAAUCA